CAGUAGCCGCGGUAAGACAGAGGAUGCAAGCGUUAUCCGGAAUGAUUGGGCGUAAAGCGUGCGCAGGCGGUUGUGUAAGACAGGCGUGAAAUCCCCGGGCUUAACCUGGGGACUGCGCUUGUGACUGCACAGCUAGAGUAUGGCAGAGGGGGGUGGAAUUCCACGUGUAGCAGUGAAAUGCGUAGAGAUGUGGAGGAACACCGAUGGCGAAGGCAGCCCCCUGGGCCAAUACUGACGCUCAUGCACGAAAGCGUGGGGAGCAAACAGGAUUAGAGACCCGCGUAGUCCCUGUCUCUUAUAC
rnacentral:rRNA from 1 species